UACGUAGGUGGCAAGCGUUAUCCGGAAUUAUUGGGCGUAAAGCGCGCGCAGGUGGUUUCUUAAGUCUGAUGUGAAAGCCCACGGCUCACCCGUGGAGGGUCAUUGGAAACUGGGAGACUUGAGUGCAGAAGAGGAAAGUGGAAUUCCAUGUGUAGCGGUGAAAUGCGUAGAGAUAUGGAGGAACACCAGUGGCGAAGGCGACUUUCUGGUCUGUAACUGACACUGAGGCGCGAAAGCGUGGGGAGCAAACAGG
rnacentral:rRNA from 1 species